rnacentral:rRNA from 1 species
AGUUGCGAUCAUGCCAGCACUAAUGCACUGGAUCCCAUCAGAACUUCGCAGUUAAGCGUGCUUGGGCGAGAGUAGUACUGGGAUGGGUGACCUCC